CCAAAACAGCCAACAGGUGGGGCUGGUCCACGGGCCAUAGCUUUUGGACUCUGGGUCCAGGCGAUGGUGGUGCGGAUUAAAAGAAGCAGAUGGAGGCUCUGAGGCCAGCAGGGCUGAAAGCCUGCUCUGCAUUCACUAAGUGUGUGACCUCGGUUUUUAACCCUACAGAUUAGAAGCAUGAGAUACAUUCACCUUGUUCGGCUACCAUCACCACUACCCUUCUCCAGAGCUCUUUUCCUCCUACAAAACAGAAACUCAGUAUCCACAACAUCCACCUUGCAGGACGACCCUGGAUGCCAUGUGUUAAGGGUGGCAGUGCUGCCAUCAGCCAGGGUCCCUUGAUGUGUGGAGCAGAGGUUGAAGUCGGAGGGAGAACCAGCUAAUCAAGCCUGCAUUACAAGAAGAAGCUCCAACUGCUUGGCACUAGCACUAGAGGAGAGGCUUCAGGCAUCAAACACCUACCGUCCUCUGAUUCCUUCACAAUUGUGGCCUCGUUGUUUAUGGGGAGUCUAAUAAAAAGCAAGGGAUUGCUGAUUAGCUGAAGUUUCCCUUGGCCGGGAUCAAAGUAAAUCUUUCAGAUUUAUACAACCCUUCAGGAAGGGCUGCAACCUUAUGCUUCCUUCAUUCCCACGACAUUGGGAUGGGCUGGGGGACCCUCAACCAGGGACAUACAGCAAAUCAGAAGCUGCCCUGGGCCCAGAAGAAACAUGGCUUGCUAGGAAUGGCUUGAGGGGGACAGUCCUUCUCGGUUAUUUGGGGACAGUGUGGAACGGGAAGGCACCAAUAAAUAUGUGUGCCUGUACUAUUCCACCAUUAAAAAUGAAGAAAAUACCACUUUACAAACUGCUAGGAUACGUAAGCUCACAAUGGACUUACAGUCUGUAAAAAGUACUGCUCUGUGACCGGCAUGAGUGAGCUGGGAGAGCCAAACCAGAAGUGAGUGAGCAGAGAUCUCACGAAAUUACUUCCUAGAUGUAGAUACUCAUCACUGGGCCAUUCAUGGCAAUUACCCUGGACGCUCUCCCCUCCCCCUCCCUCCUCUCCCCCCUCACCUCUUGCCAGCCCAAUUUUGCCAGUAAUUUUGCAAGCCGUGGAUAUGUUUCAUUGGGACUAGGCUGAAGUCUGCCAGAAAAAGCAAAUUCAGGCCAGCAAUAGUGGAAUUUGAACAUGAUGGCAGAGCCAAGCUGCUGCCAACCAGAACGUCACCUCAAGUUUGCUGUAGGGAAGAGGAAGGCAGGAUUUCUAAGCACUCGUGGGCGGUAUUAGCCAAUUUCUGUUUAUUUAAAACAUCUUAUGCAACCCACAGUCAAGGGUUCCCAUUCCCUGGAAAUAUCUGACAAAUACUAUUCCAUGGCACCCAGAGGUCUCUAUUCUCAACAGAAGAACUCUUUUGUCUGCCUAUGCAAGGUGAGCUCUGAACAUUGCCAGUGAAAUCAGAAAUAGAUGUAAUAGAUUUGAAAACUUAGAGUUUUCUCUUUCAGCCGUUUAAAUAGCACCUGAGAACCCCCUAGAGUGUUUCUUAAGCAUGAGUUGGCAUAACAAGGAAAUGACACUCUGACAUGGGCCCAGAACAGUGGUCGUAGCUCUUUGAUUCUAUGAUACAUGCUUUCCACUUGGACCUUGGGAAAAUUUUAACACAAGAAUAAAUAUAAUCAUCUAUGUGGAGUACUUUUACAUGGUGCCUGAUACAUGGCAAGUGCUCAUAAAUGGUAAUUUAGAAACUAAGACCACUGAAACUGAUUUUUUUGUGAAUUUGUGAAUAUUUGUGAAACAUGUACCUUUCUGAUGUGAACAUAUGACGGUGUCUUUAUUUUCCCAGGAAUUCAUGUUAGAUAGGUUGUGUGUCACAUGAGGUCUUAAAUGGAAGACUUGCAUGUAUUGGUGGAAAAGUCUUUGGCAGAUGGUGCUAAGACCACGCACUAGCCUGCUCUGAGUUUGCCUCCCUAGUGACAGGGCCUGGAGCUGUUUCUGGCCUGGAGGUUUCAUCCAGUCUUUCAGUGCCCCACCUUUGAUAGGGCAGAUGUGAGCACGAAAUGGAAAGAAGAUUUGGAGUUAGUGGUUUCACUAACUGUUCUUCUUGAAACCCUAGGCAGAGCCAGACCAAGUUGAGGCUUUCUUUUUCUUUUAAAGUGUAUUUAUUUAUUUUGAGAGAGAGAGAGAGAGAGAGAGAGAGAGAAUCCCAAGCAGGCAGGCUCUGUACUGUCAGAGCAGAGACUAACGUGAGGCUCAAUCUCACUAACUGUGAGAUCAUGACCUGCGCCAAAAUCAAGAGUUGGAUCCUUAACCAACUGAGCCACCCAGGCACCCAAGGCCAAGCUUUUAACCCAGGAGAACAGGGUCAAGGAGCAGACCUCAAUCUGCACUUUAAGCUCAAGGUGCAAGAGUAGUCACCCAAGUGGUCAGCUCUGGAUCUCCAGAGAAACGAUGACCCAGGAAUUUGGAUGGUAUAUAGUUCUGAGGGAUUUAGGACCUUGGCCAUCAAUAGGAGAUGAAACUGAACAUUUGUUAAAAGGGGUAAUUGUGUCAUUUGGCACCUGCAGGAACCUGUUUAUACACUCAUCUGCCACUCUGAUGGUGACUCACUUUGAGAGUAGGGAACACUCUAGCCAUCUUUUCACCUGAAUGGCAUUUAUGACAUUCUAUGGUUUGUUUCUGCCCCCUCAGGAUAUAUACUCUAUGGUUCUAAAGUCCCAGAAAACAGACUGGAGUCUCAUGAAUUUUUUUAAACAAUUUCAGUGGUCUCAGUUUUUAAAUUACCAUUUAUGAGCACUUACCAUGUAUCAGGCACCAUGUAAAAGUACUCCACAUAGAUGACUGUAUUUACUCUUGUGUUAAAAUAUUCCCAAGGUCCAAUGACCUGUUAGUGCUGACGCUUAUAUUUGAACUUAAGUCUGUCUAGAUCCCAAACCCAUCUACUGAACUACGACAUUUGGACUGCCUCUGCAGCUACUAAAAGCAUCAAAGUUGAUACAUAUGGAAGUCAAAGACCCUGGCUCACCCACAGCAAAGGUCUUGGAGUUCCACCAGAACAGACUUCUCCAGCUUGCCUUGCAGUUGACCCCUGGAAACUAUCCAAAACUAAGUCUCCCACAGGCACAUUCCUGAUAUGGGCACAUGUGGCUCUCCCGGGAAAUAGCGCCCACUGUAGAAUGAGUUUCCGAUCUUCAUGAUGGUUUGAUAAAGGCAACUCCAAUAGGCACAAAAGCUGGUUAUGCUGUUAAUGACUAAAAACUGUUAUCAUCCUGAUUAAUGCUGCCGUUGUUUAGAACAAUGAUUAACUCAGAAAGAAGGACCCAGGGGAAAGGAAUAGUGACUAAUCAAUCUCAAAGGAAUUGCCAGGUGAUGUUUAUUUCAUGAGAAGUGGAGGGAACCAAAAUCGCAAUCAUUCUUUGGUGUUGACAGGUGAGCAGCAGUACAGCCAGAACACAUCCAUGUCCCAUUUCAGGUACACGGUCAGCAAGUACUCAUGCAGGGGCAGCAGGAAAGGGAUGGGGGAGUUUGUCUUCAGCAGGCCACCCAACCACGGUACGCUGCCUCUGUGUGCCUCUCCUGUCUUCCCUCCAAUCUUAACAUCCACUUUCUCAAGAGCCAGUCUUCACCUGAGUUGCUAAUUAAGUAAUUUCCUUGUUCAUCUGACUUGGAUGGUUUUCUUGCAACACUGCCAAGUGGAAUGGCUCUUAAUUAUGUCAACUCAUGAAACCACACCAAAGGCAACCUUAUCAGAACACUAAUUUGUCAUAUUAUUUAAAGAAAAAAAAAUCAGCUAACUGAUGGGAGGCCAAUAAAAGCCCUUUUAUUAUAAAGCUCUUCAUCGCUCAUCAGCUUCCAAAACCAGCCUUGAUUCUGGCUAUUAAAACUACUCCAUGGGCAGAACAGAACCAAGAAGAAUAUCUCCUUAAGUAGGAAUGUAAAGAGAGUCCUACCUUUCUUCCCACUUAAAAUUGGACUUAACUUGAUCUUUCAAGAAACACAGUCAGUUGAUCACAGAUACAAUGUCAGAGUGCUUGGCUUGGGGGUGAUGGUAUAAGACAUAAAUUAGAGAAGCAACAGAGACCUGAUUUUCUAGCCUUGCCCAUCUUCCUCAGAGAGUUGCUCUGGGAACACAUGCUUUGGAGAAAUCCUUUCUAAGAGAAGUGAUUUCUGUCUAGUGCCAUCCAUCAGAAUUCACUCCCAGCCCAGGAGGAAGAAAGAAGGUGAUGUGAUAACAGAACCAGAGAGUGAGAUUUAAAUGCUAUGCUGAUGUUUUGAAAAUUGAAGGGGUACCAUGAGCCAAGGAAUGCAGGUGGCCUCUAGAAUCUGCAAAAGGCAAGGAAGUAGAUUCUCCCCUAGAGCCUCCAGAAGGAGUGUGGCCCUGCCAACAUCUUGAUUUCAGCCCCGUGAAAUACAUUUCAGACUUCUGACCUCCAGAACUGUAAGAUAAUAAAUUUGUGUUGCUGUA